rnacentral:lncRNA from 1 species
CCCAGCCCGGGCCCGGACACGCCCCGCUCCCAGCUGGAGAGAGGAAAUGGGAAGGAACACAGGAAGAGGUUCGAGCCUCUUCCCAUCCUGGACUGAGCGGAGGAGGACUUUGCCUGGGUUCUCGGUCGCCAGCUCGCCUCGGGUCCUGGCCCCUUGCCUCAGUUUCCCUUUCCUGCCCCCAAAGCGAGAACAGGGUGGAGGAGGUGGCAUUCCUUUAGGGAAGGAAGGAUGGACCAAGAUUUCUACAGUCCAUGUUCCUCGGAGCUGUCUAUGUGUAGAACACAUCUACUCACGUCCACACUCUGGUGUCUGCGUUGGUGAGAACGUUCUAUAUAUGUGUGUGGAUAGGGGCACAUGUUCCUGCAGUGAGCCACACACCUGUGUGAUUGGGGGCGGGGCGGGGGGGGGACGUGGAUGGGGACUAACGAUACCAUCUUGA